rnacentral:rRNA from 1 species
UUAGACCUCAAAUCAGUCAGGCCUA